UUGAAGAUAGUGGGGAUAGAACAAUUUUUUCUUAUUUUUUAGUGAAAAAAGAAAAUAGAAAGUUUGUGUAAAAUAUGGAAAUAGGAUUAUAAUUGUGGAAUAUUGAUAAAAUUUUCGUACAGUAAUAAUGUAGUUUUGUUAAAAUACCAAAUAGUACUUUUUCCGAUCAUAGUGGUAGAUACACAUAGAAGUAUACGAAUUGGCCUAGAAUUUAGAAAAGCUAAUAAAAUGAAGAUGACUUGAAAGUAAAACAAAAUACCAAAAAGCAAGUUUUUUUUUCUUUCCAUUUCUAAUUUGUUACACGUAACACAAAGGCGUUCACUUGUUACCACACACUAUGGAUUGGGCUUUGGGAGACUUCAUACGCCCGUAUGUGGAUUGUAGCCUCUAAACCUAGAGUAUUGGAUUUUGUACUCUCCAUUUAAAUUUAUAUCUCUCAAUUUAAAAAAAUUAUGUUUAAACUUACAAAAAUAUUCUUAAACUUACAAUCUGAAAUGUCUGAACAAGUUUUUGUUUUCUUUUGAAAAUCUAUUAUCGAAAAUUUUAAAAAUGAAAUUUUCGAUAGUUAUUUUUCAAUAUCGUGGAUUUUAUUCAUUCUUGAAAUAUCUGGUAAGUUUUGUUUUCAAAUAAAAAAAAAAUUUAACAAUUUUUUGAUCCAAUUUUUUUUCAGUGAAGACUAGCAGAGCAAAAAACACUGUGGAACAUUCACGAGUUCAACCUCUUACGUAAUCCAAUAGGAGAGUUGUCGUUGAGAAAAUAAGAAAGAUGAACGAAGAGAUGCAACAAGAGGAGGAUUAUUAUCUUCAGUGUGAGUUUGAGCAACAGGAUCUUGUGUUUGAUGAUCAAGAGGAGCAUCAAUAGCACCAGGAUAACAUGCAUCACCAUCAACAGCCUGAACAACCUCUAUUUUCUGGAGGUCUUUACGAUUUUUCCGUCCUUAAAGACUAUGAGCAUCACAAUGCAGUUAAAGUGUGGAUAGAUAGAAUAGACGGGCCCGGAAGUUGCUUCAAAUGGAAAAAAAAACAAGAUAAAUUCAUUGAUAUCAGAUAUAUAUUAUCUACUCAGAUAGAUCAAUAGAUUACUAUAUCUGAGUUACGUCAUCUGGAACGAUGUAUUUUGCAGAUGAUUGACAAUAAUCUCAUAUCUGCUUUUGUUGAGAGAUGAAACACAAAGACUAGCAAUUUACUAAAAAGAUGCAUACGACAAUUUGGGUAUACUCAACACAUCACUCUUACACCAUUGAUGCUUGUUGUAUGUGAUGAUGUUAAAUGAAGUAUGUACAGGAACUAUGUAUGAUCUCUUCGUACUAGAUUGCAUCCAGUUGCGUAUUCACACGAGUAUGUUGAAGGAUACAUUCAAUGGUACUAUAGGAAAUCUCAUCCUCGAAUUAUCCCUUACGUGCUGCAGAACCUCCAUGCUUCGAUGUUCUUAGUCGUGAUGUUUGGUCCUGGUCCUAGUCAUGAUGUUGGUCAUGGUUCUGGUCCUAGUUAUGAUGAUGGUCCUGGUCCUAGUCACGAUGUUAGUCUUGUUCCUGGUCCUAGUCAUGAUGUUGGUUCUGAUACUACUCAUGGUGAAUCGUAUAUGCGUUAUCAGCUAAUGGGUGGUCUUAUACAUCAGAUGUUAGAUUUACAAAGGUUAGAUCCUGAAGAUGAGAUGCAUAUCUUAUUAGAGAGAGCUUGACACAUAUUUAGAAGAGGUGAUUAUAGUUGUAUUUUGAUUGUAUUAUUUUAUUAUUCAAACUUAUUUAUUUAGACUUAUCUUGAUUGAUUUAUUA